rnacentral:lncRNA from 1 species
CAUGAGGGGCUGCCUGAGCCGCUUUCCCAGAGAUGGGAGCCUUCUCCAUCCACCGACUCCAACAUGGGAAUUGAUGUUACUUCUGUUCUUCCUGGAGCUGUGGCUGUCUUUGUAGUUUUGGCCAUCAUUGGAGCUGUGGUGGCUAUUGUGAGGAGGAGAAACACAGGUGGGAAAGGAGACUACGCCCCUGCUCCAGCAUGAAGACAACUGCCUGGAGUGGACUGAGUGACAGACGAUGUGUUCAGGUCUCUGCUGUGACAUCCAGAGCCCUCAGUUCUCUUUAGACACCAGUGUCUGAAGUUCCCUGUGAUUCUAUGGCUUCUGUGUGAAGAACUGUGGAGCCCAGCCCGCCCUGCACACCUGGACCCUGUCCCUGCACUGCCUGUGUUCCCUUCCCCAGCCAAACUUCCUGGUCCAGCCUGGGGGUAGGGAGUGGGGACAUCUCAUCCUGUCCCUCUGUGGUGCCCUGAGAGUCAGCCCCUCACUUCCACACUGAGAAUAAGAAUCUGAGUGUGACCUUGAUUGUUCACAUCCUUGACUCAAGUGUGGAUGGCUUUUUCAAUUACUGGAUGG